rnacentral:rRNA from 1 species
AGCGAACGCUGGCGGCAGGCCUAACACAUGCAAGUCGAGCGCCCAGCAAUGGGAGCGGCAGACGGGAGAGUAACACGUGGGAACGUGCCUUUUGGUUCGGAAUAACUCAGGGAAACUUGAGCUAAUACCGGAUACGCCCUUACGGGGAAAGAUUUAUCGCCGAAAGAUCAGCCCGCGUCCGAUUAGCUAGUUGGUGAGGUAAUGGCUCACCAAGGCGACGAUCGGUAGCNGGUCUGAGAGGAUGAUCAGCCACACUGGGACUGAGACACGGCCCAGACUCCUACGGGAGGCAGCAGUGGGGAAUAUUGGACAAUGGGCGCAAGCCUGAUCCAGCCAUGCCGCGUGAGUGA